UGCUGGUGCUUGCGGUGCUGCGCGUCUCGAGAGCGAGACUGCGGGGAACUGUGCAAGCAAGAUGGCGCCGGGCGGCUCGGUCACGUGACUGCGUCUCUGUUGAUGCGGGACUCGGGAGCCAGUUUUUUCGGGGAACGAGCGAGAGGUGAAGCUUCGUCUACAAGCGGCGAGAUGACGGUUUUGGAUUCCACGAGCUUUUUGGCAGCUCAGCUGCAUGAUACGGACUUGGACGGUUUUCUUUGGGUUUUUGAAUAGUAGAUUCUCUGCACAGCGGUUGUGGCCGAGGUGGACUGAUAAAGUUCGCGGUAAUGCACUUACGGCUCGAGGUCUUUCAUUAGAAUAUACUCAGAUGAUUGAUCAAAGAGAAUUAUGAAGAUCUGCUCUUUCGGUGUUUUGAAGAGUGCAUCAUCUGCAUAAGACUUGGUUUUUUGAGGAUUUUAUUCUAAAAAUAGAAAACGAGGAGCUAAUGAAGCAAAGUCUCGUGAUUUCUGAGGCGUUGAUCGACGAUCGUUGCUUGGCGUCCGAGUGACUGGAUCUCCGGUGUCUGACCUGCUGCUGCUGAGCCUCGGCUCUCGUGGCGUACGACGAGGAUGUGUCGUUUUGGCGUUUGUGCUUCUCGAGCUGUACGGCGAUAAAGCGCGGAUUUGGUCCAUCGAGGCAUUCGCAGCUGAGGGUCGCAUCGAGCUCCGUCGGGUAAGGCGUCGUCGCUAUGAGAAGGCUCUCGGUUGACUUCGUUGGCUGAAAGUGGUGGCGACCGCUGCCGCUGUUCGAGGAGUAGACCUGAGUGCCGGAAGUGCGUCGGGAUUGCGAACAACUGCUGCUGCUGUUUGUCGGGGUUUUCGCGCGGCCGUGGUGCAAGGAUGAUGAACCUGGGGAGAAUUUUUCAUCUAUGAGAUCUCAUGUCUUUAUCGAUUAUUUCUUAAAGUCUAAUUUAUUUCAAUGAAAGACAGCUUUUUAUUACUCAAAGAUUAUUUAAGACUUAUUAGAUCCAAAUUGAAUGAAGUAAAUCUUGCUUUUAGUUUGAAGUUUCUAAUCUCUUGUUUCUGUAAAAAUGGAUGCAAUAAAAGCGGCGAGCUUUU